rnacentral:rRNA from 1 species
GAUGAACGCUAGCGGCAGGCCUAAUACAUGCAAGUCGAACGGGAUUAAGAGGCUUGCUUCUUAUGAGAGUGGCGCACGGGUGCGUAACACGUAUGCAACCUACCUUCAACUGGGGGAUAGCCUUCCGAAAGGGAGAUUAAUACCGCAUAACAUAAUUGAGUGGCAUCACUUGAUUAUCAAACGUCAGGGUUGAAGAUGGGCAUGCGUCCGAUUAGUUUGUUGGGGAGGUAACGGCUCACCAAGACUACGAUCGGUAGGGGAUCUGAGAGGAUGGCCCCCCACACUGGUACUGAGACGCGGACCAGACUCCUACGGGAGGCAGCAGUAAGGAAUAUUGGUCAAUGGACGGAAGUCUGAACCAGCUAUGCCGCGUGCAGGAAGACGGUCCUCUGGAUUGUAAACUGCUUUUGUUAGGGAAGAAACUUCCGUACGUGUACGGGACUGACGGUACCUAAAGAAUAAGGAUCGGCUAACUCCGUGCCAGCCGCCGCGGUAAAAC